AUAGCCCUGAAUGAAGGCCCACAGUUUGCUGUAGCUGUUGGUUUCAAACAGCGGCUGACAUAAAAGUCUUCUUAUCGUCUGUUGACUUUCCCAGUGUUAUCUAAUGGGUAAAGUCUGUUCAGUUCGAAGAAACAGUU
ensembl:snoRNA small nucleolar RNA SNORA2/SNORA34 family